ensembl:lncRNA
CGCUGACCAGAAUUAGCGUUUGGAUAUGUAUACCAAACGCUCUAACAAAAGAAGGAAUUUGGACAUUUUCGAACAAAACAAAAAUGUAUUGUGGAUCUGGGAUUCCUGGAGUGCUUUCUGAUGUAGAUCAUCAAAGGCCCAGGUCAAGCACACUUGAGGUAAAUGUUCAGCAGAUGCCCCAGGGCAGAGAGAAGAAGAUGAAGGAGAUCAAACAAUCAGUGGAUCUCAGCAGAAAGCAGAAAGCAGCAGAGACACAGGCUGAAGGGCUCGUCAAAGAGCUGGAGGAGGAAAUCACUGAUCUACAGAAGAGAAGCGGUGCUCUGGAGCAGCUGUCACACACCGAGGACCACGUCUACCUCAUACAG